rnacentral:misc_RNA from 1 species
AUGGACUUCUAGCUAUAUUGGGAGUUAUAAACUUUGUGUUGUACAUAAUUUGUGCUACAUGGUUUAAGCCAAGGAAAGAUAAAUACAUGGAGACUAUCAACAAUGGAAAUGUUGUUGAGGACAAGUGCUAGGGUUUAGUUUAUAAAUGGUCUCAAUUUAUUGCCUUUGGUGUUGAUUGUAUCAUUUCACUUUCCUUUGGUAUGUGACUUUUUACUUUUGAUAAU